ACAGGUGCUGCAUGGCUGUCGUCAGCUCGUGUCGUGAGAUGUAGGGUUAAGUCCCGCAACGAGCGCAACCCUUGUCUUUAAUUGCCAUCAUUGAGUUGGGCACUUUAAAGAGAACUGCCGGUGUUAACCGGAGGAAGUGGGAUGACGUCAAGUCAUCAUGCCCCUUAUGUUCUGGGCUACACACGUGCUACAAUGGCCGGUACAGACGGACGCAAAGCCGCGAGGUGGAGCAAAUCCUAAAAGCCGGUCUCAGUUCGGAUUGCAGGCUGCAAUUCGCCUGCAUGAAGUCGGAAUCGCUAGUAAUCGCAGGUCAGCAUACUGCGGUGAAUACGUUCCCGGGCCUU
rnacentral:rRNA from 1 species